GGAGGACGAUUAGGGUUACAGUGUCCGAUGAGCACACUUUCUCUGUAAAAUGAGGAACCCCAAGAAAUCACGAGAAAGAGAUGCAGAUGAUUCGUCUUCAAUCAAUCGUUUACCAGAUGAAAUUAUCCUCCAAAUAUUAAACAAAAUAAUCGAUUUGAGAAGCCUAUGCUUUUGUUACCUGGUUUCCAAACGUUUCUCCUCGAUUGUACUUGAAGUCGAUGCCGUUUCCUUCACCGCUCCUUUCAAAGACCCUAACAUUCCCAAUAAGAACCCCGUAGGUGAUAUCUCCCAAAGUAGGCCAUGUCAUCCUAAGCUAUACGCCCAUGGCUUUUUGAGAAAGUUUACAGGAGUGAAGUCUUUAUACAUCGAACUUCCGUUUUCCGAUCACAGAGUUGUCCAGAAUCGUUGUCUGUUCAAGUGGAGGGUUAAGUUUGGUAGCAGAGUAGAGUCGUUUGUAUUUCUAUCCCCGAAUUAUGUUUGUGAUAAUGAUGGAAUAUAUCAAAUUGGAAAGGUGGAUGAAGAAAACGAGUUAAUCAGUAUCGCACAGCAUAUCAAUAAAAAACGUGACAUUUCGUAUCAGUGUCUGAAUGAUGUGAUUGCGUGGCAUAAGAUGUUGAUGAACAUCGUUAAGGAUCUACCAAUGUUGGAAGAGGUUUCCAUUACUGAUUCAGGGAGAAAAGGGAGGCUUUCUCUGAGUGGGGAAAAACUCAAUGAGGUGAAGGAAUGGGUACAUUCAGCUUCGGAAGCCGAGAUCAAUAGUCGAAAGGGUUCUUUUAUCGGGACUGAAACUUGCAUUCCCGUUUUGAAGUUGCCAGUUUCAGGGUAUGUGAUGAAGGGUAUAUUUUGUGCUCUAUUUGAGAGGGAAGAUAUCCAGGGUAGAACUGAUUUUCUUAAGAACAGUGAAGAUGGUUUUGAAGAUAAAGAAGAAGCUGCAUAUACUGAAGCUGUGAAGGAUGUUUUGGAGAAGGAGAUUAUGCAGACGGAAAUGCUUAAUGCUUUAGGACUUUAGUAUGAAUCAGGUCCAUACUCUGAUCCUCAUAAUACUCUCAGAACUUGCUCAUUGGUUGUUUAAUCGUAUGAAAUGAAGUUGUAUAGUAUAAAGCGGACAUGGUUACAGUUUUAAAUGUUGUUUCUGCUUUGAAAGUUAAUGAAGGCGAUGUUGAGGGGUUCCUUUUCUUGUUUUCUUGAAUCUCAUUUGAUUAGUUUUGUGUCCAUAAAACUUGAUUUUUUUUGAGAUUACAUAGAAUUGAUACAUUGGGCUUUAUAUAAUUUAUAAAUGUUACUUUGAAAAUCUGUAGAUUUUGAUUGACUAGUAUGCAUUUGAAAGUUGUUUUUGUUGAGGGUAAAUGGUGAUUUUUCUCAUUCAACAGAUCUGUUCAACAACCUUACCCAACAACACUUAAUCAUUUAGACCAUUUUAAUGGUUCAAACACUAAAUCAUUGGGUUUUCUACAAAACAUCUCCUAAAAAUAAGAAAUUAUUGUUUAAAAUGUACCAUUAGGGGUGAAGGCUAAAUUAUUGUUUAAGACUAGUGGAUGUGUAGUUAGUUAUCAUACCCAAAAAGUGUCAUCUCACAUGUGUCAUCUCAAAAUGGUGUUAUAACACCAAAUAAAGGAAAUGGAUAACCAGUUAAAACACUUUAACUUUCUAUGUCAGCAUUUAUUUAUUUAUUUAUUUUUCGGUUUUUUGUUUCUUUUUUCAAUAUGUUUAUUUAUUUUUAUUUUUUCAAAAUUUUCAUUCAUGUUAGAUUAUUUAUAAAAAAUGAAACAUGCAAUUUAAUUAAAUCCCAGAAGGGAUGGAGGAUUUUGUGGUGUAUUGUGACGCAUCGAUAUCGGGGUUGGGUGCAGUACUUAUGCAGAGAGGGCAUGUGAUAGCAUAUGCAUCGAGGCAGCUGAAGCCUCAUGAGACGAGGUAUCCCACCCACGAUCUGGAGUUGGGGGCAGUGGUGUUUGCCUUCAAGAUAUGGCGUCACUAUUUGUAUGGGGUUCGGUGUAUCAUAUACACGGACCACAAGAGCCUGAAGUAUUUGAUGGAUCAGCCCAAUCUGAAUAUGCGUCAGAGGAGAUGGUUGGACGUGGUAAAGGAUUACGAUUGUGAGACCCUGUACCACCCGGGCAAAGCUAAUGUUGUAGCUGAUGCCCUGAGUCGCAGGGCGGAGAGUGCUCCGAUACGAGAUGUUUGUUUGAGAUUGACAAUGAUGGCUCCGGUGUUGGACACCAUUCGAGAGGCCCAGGCAGAGGUCGUGAUAUCGGAGAACCGCAAGAGGGAGCGGGCUUUAUCCCAGAAAAAGCAUGAUAUGCUUUGAGGAGUGCGAACUACUUCCCUAGUAAUGCAUUAGACCUUUUGCGAUCCUCGUAGGAUUGAUUCCGUAACCUUCAAACUUCGACUACCCUCAGAACUUAGUAACAUUCCUCUGGUACUACACGUCUCGGUCCUUAAGAAGUAUCUACCCAAUGAAACCAAGAUGCGUCCCGAUAGUGAGGGUUCGCUGGAACGUCAACCGGAGACCCGAUGCCACUUGGGAGCGUGAAAACCCGGAGCAACUGAUCCAUCCGCAUCUCUUUUCAUUUCAUGAUCUGUAUCUUAAUCUUUGAAUUUCGGGACGAAAUUCCCUCUAACGGGGGGAUAAUGUAACAACCCGAAGUUGUCCAUCGCCGAACCCAUUCUACGCGUAAAAAUUCGCCGUUUAUCAAUUCGUUCCGAUUUUGUUUUUGGGCUAAAUUAUUUAAAACUUAUAUGUUUAUUUUAAUCUAAUGAGUGUCCAAACCCCUUAGGAACUCAUGAAAUUAGCCCAAAAUGUUUAUUUCAAAAAUUUUAGAAACGUCCCCGCCGAGUUACGGAAACUUAAUCGGGUGCGAUCAAAAGCCCCGUUUAAUGUCGGUAUCGGGUAGAAUUCCCCCGUGUCCAAGUUUUUGGGACCUAUUUAAACGUGUUCAAGCUUUCAUUUGAAGCUUUUGCUUCAUCUCUCUACUCUCUCUCUAACCUCUCUCCUAAAUUCAAGUUUAAGGGUCCAAAUCUCAAAUUUAAGAUUUCUAAUCACCAAGGUAUCUUCCCUAACUUGUUAUGCAACCCCUCUGACCUUCAAAUUCGAGUUUAAACCAAGGAUUAGGACCAUUAUCAUGUGUUUACGGCCCUAGAUCAGUCCUAGGCCGUAAACUCAUAUAAAUGGGGUUUUUUAGCAACAAAACCCUUCCAAACUACAAUUAGACCUAGAUUUGGCUAGAUGACUUAAUGGAAUGGACUUAGAAUGCCUCAAACCAUGAUUUAGAGCCUUGCUCAUGUGUUUACGGCCCUGGAGCAUGCUUGGGCUGUAAACACAUAUAAAAGAGGUUUUUAUGCCCUUAAACCCUUCCAAAACACCAAUAAGGCUUAGAUACGACUUGUAGAAUUAUGGAAGUGGUCUUGGAACACCUUGAACAUCAAUUUAGAGGAGUAAACUUGAGUUUACUGCCCAAGAACAUGCUUGGGUCGUAAACUCCUAUUCUUGGGGAGUAAACUCCUCUAAAUGUGUUAAGAUGCCACUUAAACACACCAUAAGCCUUGGGAUAAAUUCUAGAAAUGACCACAAACAAGAAUUGGACCUUAAAACAUAUUAAAACACCCAUCUAAGGAGUUCACGGCCAUGAGGGGGUUCAUGGGCCGUAAACUCCUAAAACCAUGUCCAAAGUCCCCCAAAAAAUUCAUACAAGGCUUGGGAAAAAUCAUUGGAAUCACAUGUGAUUGUUUAAGGACCAAAACUUUAAGGAUUGGAUGUGAGGGGGAGUUUACUGCCGUAAACUCCAAUAAAUGGUCCCUAAAUGAGUUUUGAACCAUUCCAAAGUCAAAAUCCAAGUCUAGCAUUUAUUCCCGAUUGUUAUGAAGCCAUUUUGCACCCAAAAUCACCAUCCAUGAGUUCAUGGCCGUGAACUCAUAUGGAUGAGGUAUAUAGGGCCGAAAACUCUUGUAUGAGUUUACUCUUGAAGAGUAAACUCAAUAUCCAAGCUUAAUGUGUCCCCAAAUGUCACCCGGGUCCUUCCAAACACUUGUAAUGGGGUGUUUCCGCAACUAGAAGUGUAUAUCCUUAACAAAUAAAUUAAUAAAGUCCUAAUUAGAUACAAAUGUGUAUAAUUUGAUAAUCCAUAGGAAUCUUGUGCGUUCGCGAACCCAGAACCGACGUUUAGGAUCCAAACUGACGUGUUUCUCAACCGGUGAGUUCAUACCCCUACCCUUUUUCAAAUGUUUUUCAAUGUUUUUCAAAUGUUUUCAGGGGGGGAAUACAAGCAAAAAUACAAGGAAAUCUUGUACUCAAACGUAUUUUCAGUCCAAAUGUUUUAUUUCAUGUAUGUUUCUAAUAUCCAAAAUCGUGAUAACUAAUGAUUCGAAUUGCAGGGUGUACUGUCACACUAAAGUGAGAUUUCUUUAAAAGGUGUUUUGAAUUAUAUUACAUUUUUGCAAAAGAAAUCAUGUUUAACAUAAACUAUGACUAGUACGAAUACGAAUACGAAUACGAAUACGAAUACGAAUAUAACUAAUAGAAUAUUACGAAUACGAAUACGAAUACGAAUACGAAUACGAAUACGAAUAGAAAUAGUGUAACAGCCCGGAAUCUCAGGUAUUAUUAAAAUUAUGUUUUUGGGGAGAUUUAAGAGGGGACUCGGCGAGUUGGAGCCUAGACUCGCCGAGUAGGAUCGCGGACUUGGUCGCGGGUCCGCGACUGGACUCGACGAGUCCAGAUAUGGACUCGGCGAGUCGACGCUGUUCAGCAGAAACCCUAACCGUUCAGUUUGGAUCGUAUUUAACGCCUCUUAGGCCGUCAUUUUCAGUCUUUUGGUCAAUUGAGAGGAACCCUAAUCGCUGUGGACGCCUAGAGCAAGGGAGAAAGCUUUGGAACUUGGAAGAAUUGGUUAGGCAAGAAGAAGAGGGAUUUGGCUAAAGGAAUAUCAAGGAGGAUUGAGUCCUGAGAUUUGGGGGACACAGAGAGUGCGUUUUCAGGAGGGUUGUAGCUCGUUGGUUUGUGCGCAAGUGAUUUCAGGAGUUGCUAGCUUUCAGCACUUACGAGGUACUAGCGAGGACCGUGGGAAGGCGCCGGCAUGAUCGAUACACACUGAAGAUUGUUUUAGGAUCUUGGGAGUUGGAAUAAUUGUAUUGACCGAAUAAUUAAACUAUAUAUAUGCCUUGUUUUUAAUGGAAAAUAUUAUGUUUUAAAAAUGAAAAAUUUGCUUGAAAAA